GCCUGGGUGGCUCAGUCCUUUGAGCAUCUGACUUCAGCUCAGGUCAUGAUCUCACGGUUCGUGAGUUCAAGCCCCACUCUGUGCU
rnacentral:tRNA from 1 species